GACGAACGCUGGCGGCGUGCCUAAUACAUGCAAGUAGGACGCAGUUGCGAACGGGUGAGUAACGCGUAGGUAACUACCUAUUAGAGGGGGAUAACUAUUGGAACCGAUAGCUAAUACCGCAUACUAGUAGAUGGCCCUGCGUUGUAUUAGCUAGUAGGUUGGGUAAUGGCCUACCUAGGCAACGAUACAUAGUCGACCUGAGAGGGUGAUCGGCCACACUGGGAGUGAUGCACGGCACAGACUUCUACGGGAGGCAGCAGUAGGGAAUCUUCGGUAAUUGGGUGAAGCCUGACCGAGCAACGCCGCGUGAGUGAAGAAGGUUUUCGGAUCGUAAAGCUCUGUUGUUAAGGGAUCGGUACGUAACCAGAAAGGGACUGCUAACGACGUGCCAGCAGCCGCGGUAAUUC
rnacentral:rRNA from 1 species